UGCAAGUCGAGCGGAUGAGUGGAGCUUGCUCCAUGAUUCAGCGGCGGACGGGUGAGUAAUGCCUAGGAAUCUGCCUGGUAGUGGGGGACAACGUUUCGAAAGGAACGCUAAUACCGCAUACGUCCUACGGGAGAAAGUGGGGGAUCUUCGGACCUCACGCUAUCAGAUGAGCCUAGGUCGGAUUAGCUAGUUGGUGAGGUAAAGGCUCACCAAGGCGACGAUCCGUAACUGGUCUGAGAGGAUGAUCAGUCACACUGGAACUGAGACACGGUCCAGACUCCUACGGGAGGCAGCAGUGGGGAAUAUUGGACAAUGGGCGAAAGCCUGAUCCAGCCAUGCCGCGUGUGUGAAGAAGGUCUUCGGAUUGUAAAGCACUUUAAGUUGGGAGGAAGGGCAGUAAGUUAAUACCUUGCUGUUUUGACGUUACCAACAGAAUAAGCACCGGCUAACUUCGUGCCAGCAGCCGCGGUAAUACGAAGGGUGCAAGCGUUAAUCGGAAUUACUGGGCGUAAAGCGCGCGUAGGUGGUUCGUUAAGUUGGAUGUGAAAGCCCCGGGCUCAACCUGGGAACUGCAUCCAAAACUGGCGAGCUAGAGUAUGGCAGAGGGUGGUGGAAUUUCCUGUGUAGCGGUGAAAUGCGUAGAUAUAGGAAGGAACACCAGUGGCGAA
rnacentral:rRNA from 1 species